GGUUCUAUAGUAUAAAUAAUUAUGUUAGAUUGCAAGUCUAAAGAUGUGUUAGACUAGAACUU
rnacentral:tRNA from 1 species